rnacentral:rRNA from 1 species
UACGGAAGGUGCGAGCGUUGUUCGGAAUUACUGGGCGUAAAGGGCGCGUAGGCGGAUUCGUAAGUCGAUUGUGAAAUACCUGGGCUUAACUUGGGAAUUGCAGUCGAAACUACGAACCUUGAAUGUCAGAGAGGGUGGGGGAAUUCCUGGUGUAGAAGUGAAAUUCGUAGAGAUCAGGAGGAACACCGGAGGCGAAGGCGCCUACCUGGCUGUGCAUUGACGCUGAGGCGCGAAAGCGUGGGUAG